AACAAACGCUGGCGGCGUGCCUAAUACAUGCAAGUCGAACGGGGAAGGCUUUCGGGUGAGUACUAGUGGCGCACGGGUGAGUAACACGUGGAUAAUCUGCCUUAGAGUGGGGGAUAACUAGUCGAAAGAUUAGCUAAUACCGCAUAAGACCACAAGAACUGCGGUUCAAGGGGUCAAAGGUUUUUCGCUCUAAGAUGAGUCCGCGUAAGAUUAGCUAGUUGGUGAGGUAACGGCUCACCAAGGCGACGAUCUUUAACUGGUCUGAGAGGAUGAUCAGUCACACUGGAACUGAGACACGGUCCAGACUCCUACGGGAGGCAGCAGUAGGGAAUAUUGCACAAUGGAGGAAACUCUGAUGCAGCGACGCCGCGUGAGUGAUGAAGGCCUUCGGGUCGUAAAGCUCUGUCGCAGGGGAAUAACACAAUGAAUGUACCCUGUAAGAAAGGAUCGGCUAACUUCGUGCCAGCCGCCGCCGUAAUAC
rnacentral:rRNA from 1 species